rnacentral:misc_RNA from 1 species
GAUGAAGAACGUAGCGAAAUGCGAUAAGUAAUGCGAAUUGCAGAAUUCAGUGAAUCAUCGAAUCUUUGAACGCACAUUGCGCCCGCCAGUACUCUGGCGGGCAUGCCUGUCUGAGCGUCAUUUCAACCCCCGCGCCCGGCUUCUGUCGGGGGCGGUGUUGGGGAUCGGCCUCCCGUCUUCCGGGCGGCCGGCCCCUAAAUGGAGUGGCGACCGCGCCGUAGCCUCCUCUGCGUAGUAGUGAAACACUCGCGGGCGGAGAGCGGUGCGGCCCGCCGUAAAACCCCCAACUCUUCUAAGGUUGACCUCAGAUCAGGUAGGAAUACCCGCUGAACUUAAGCAUAUCAAUAAGCGGAGGA